UACGUAGGGACCAAGCGUUGUUCGGAUUUACUGGGCGUAAAGGGCGCGUAGGCGGCAAUUCAAGUCAUCUGUGAAAUCUCCGGGCUUAACCCGGAACGGUCAGAUGAUACUGCUUUGCUAGAGUGCGGAAGGGGCAAUCGGAAUUCUCGGUGUAGCGGUGAAAUGCGUAGAUGUCGAGAGGAACACCAGAGGUGAAGACGGGUUGCUGGGCCGACACUGACGCUGAUAGCGCGAAAGCCAGGGGAGCAAACGGG
rnacentral:rRNA from 1 species